CACGUAGGCGGAUCGUUAAGUCGGGGGUGAAAUCCUGGAGCUCAACUCCAGAACUGCCUUCGAUACUGGCGAUCUCGAGUCCGGAAGAGGUGAGUGGAACUCCUAGUGUAGAGGUGGAAUUCGUAGAUAUUAGGAAGAACACCAGUGGCGAAGGCGGCUCACUGGUCCGGUACUGACGCUGAGGUGCGAAAGCGUGGGGAGCAAACA
rnacentral:rRNA from 1 species